UCUCCUCAGUGGAUGAGCAAGGAAAAGAAGUGAGUAGCAGUAUUAGUAGUAAUAGUAAUAUUUUUUCUCAAUUAAGUUUGCCUGACAUGAGAGGUGCUUCAAAAUAACUAAGUAAAGAGUCAAUGAAAAAAAAAUACUAAUAAGACAAAAGUCAAAAAAAUGUAAAAUACUGUACAAUAGCAGAGAUUUACAAAGGCCACAACUUUAUUAAGAACAAGAAUAACACCAAGAGACCUAGUAACACAAAAGGGCCAAGAUAUUAAAAAUGCAAUAAAGAAGCAAAAGAGACAUAGCAAUGCAAAACAUCACAGGUUUAAGAUCAAAGAAUGGCAAUCUGCACUAAACUUUACUAACUCAGGUGGCUGGUCUGUUAGCGGCUCAUCUGAAUAUUUGGGGGUCCCACCUCCUUGGGCUUAACAUAAAGAGGAAUGAGUUUCAAAUGAAUUAAAACAAAACAAUUAUGAUACUCUAGGUAAAUCAAUACAAAAUUAUUAACAACAAUGAUAACUAAUGAAAUUUAAUUAAAUACAGAAAGAAUAGAAACACAAAAACAUUUUAUUAGGAAAAAGAAAAUAAAUAAU